rnacentral:lncRNA from 1 species
CUGCAGUGGGACCCAUUUUCAUCCUUGUGACUGUCUCUGAGUCUUUUUCAGAUUGUUUUUUAACCUUUCGUCAGUAAACCUGGUUAAAAUUAUUUCAAACUUGCAUCUGAGUCAGUGUCGAGUCAAUUUGAAUCUGUUUAGGUCAUUUUUAGCCCUAGGGGCAUUUUGGUCAUUUCACACAAAAUUUUGGCAUAGAGAGGUUACUUUGAAGUACCUCAUUUAAGCCAUUGGUUCGUUU